rnacentral:rRNA from 1 species
GAUGAACGCUGGCGGCGUGCCUAAUACAUGCAAGUCGAGCGAACAGACGAGGAGCUUGCUCCUCUGACGUUAGCGGCGGACGGGUGAGUAACACGUGGAUAACCUACCUAUAAGGCUGGGAUAACUUCGGGAAACCGGAGCUAAUACCGGAUAACAUGUUGAACCGCAUGGUUCAACAGUGAAAGACGGUCUUGCUGUCACUUAUAGAUGGAUCCGCGCCGCAUUAGCUAGUUGGUAAGGUAACGGCUUACCAAGGCAACGAUGCGUAGCCGACCUGAGAGGGUGAUCGGCCACCCUGGAACUGAGACACGGUCCAGACUCCUACGGGAGGCAGCAGUAGGGAAUCUUCCGCAAUGGGCGAAAGCCUGACGGAGCAACGCCGCGUGAGUGAAGAAGGUCUUCGGAUCGUAAAACUCUGUUAUUAGGGAAGAACAAAUGUGUAAGUAACUAUGCACGUCUUGACGGUACCUAAUCAGAAAGCCACGGCUAACUACGUG